rnacentral:lncRNA from 1 species
UUUGCUCUUAAUCAAUUGUAAAAUGUCUUCUCCUAAAUCAAAGAUCUACUUUUUUUCUACUCUUCACCUUCAUCGCAAUCUGACAGCUAUUUGGAGGUUCGAUUUCUGUUCAUUGAUUUCGAUUUAUUUGGGGUAAAAUCAUUGCAAUCUUGUGUUCCACAUAUACGAUAUUUUAUCUAGGGUUUCCACACAAUCCAAAAGCUAACCUGCUGUCGCAGAGCACCUCUUCAUCACUUUCAUUGGAGGUUUCAAAGACGGAGAUCCGCCACGUGUCUCGGAAAUGGAAGGGCAGUCCUGAACACACAAAGGUCUGGAUUGAGCCUAACAAACUUCGUAGGGUCGCUGUUGUUUACUACCUCUGCCGUAACGGCCAGCUUGAGCAUCCGCAUGUUGAUGUUUCUUUCUCCUGUUCUGAUAGACUGGAUCUUCGAGAUGUAAUAGAUUGUAUAAAUUCUCUCCGAGGAAAAUGAAUGGCGGCAAUGUACUCGUGGUCUUCUAAACAGCUAUGUGACUUGCUGUAACGAUGAUGCUUUCGGAGUGGACGAUCUGUCAUGCGGCGCGGCUCAAAGGCUCCGAUGCUCAUGCUUUCGGAGUGGACGAUCGAUGUUCCAGAUCUAUCUAAACCGAUGUCGGAGAUAUCUCCGCUGAUUCUCCGCUUGUAUGCUUUUCAAUUGUUCAAUAAAUCGUAUU